rnacentral:misc_RNA from 1 species
CUUUUGGAUUUGAACUUUUUGAUAGGGAUUAAUAAAUUAAGUAAAAAUGGAAGCCAAGGUCACAAAGGUAUUGGAUAGUAGUAGUCGCAGAGUUAUGCUUGGUCUGAAGAGAAAACGAGCAUCCCGUUAUGCAGCAUAUUUUGCUGAAGCUUCCCGAAUUAUUUCACCUGAGUGGCCAACUGUGCAUUGUUCAACUUGUAAGUCUGGGAAACGGAGGAGACUAACUAGAAGCCGAAGAAAGGUUGUGAGCUGUGGGUAUCAUUUCAGAAGAUCUUUGCUUCGGUGUUAUUCAAAUUUUAAGAGGACUGGGGUGCCACAACGUCUUAUGUUUUAUCAGAGUGGCGAAUGGACUGAUUUUUCUCAAGAUCUUGUCGCUCUGGUUAGGAAGGAUCUUCAAGAGAAGAAA